rnacentral:rRNA from 1 species
GAUGAACGCUGGCGGCGUGCCUAAUACAUGCAAGUCGAGCGAACGGACGAGAAGCUUGCUUCUCUGAUGUUAGCGGCGGACGGGUGAGUAACACGUGGAUAACCUACCUAUAAGACUGGGAUAACUUCGGGAAACCGGAGCUAAUACCGGAUAAUAUUUUGAACCGCAUGGUUCAAAAGUGAAAGACGGUCUUGCUGUCACUUAUAGAUGGAUCCGCGCUGCAUUAGCUAGUUGGUAAGGUAACGGCUUACCAAGGCAACGAUGCAUAGCCGACCUGAGAGGGUGAACGGCCACACUGGAACUGAGACACGGUCCAGAAUCCUACGGGAGGCAGCAGUAGGGAAUCUUCCGCAAUGGGCGAAAGCCUGACGGAGCAACGCCGCGUGAGUGAUGAAGGUCUUCGGAUCGUAAAACUCUGUUAUUAGGGAAGAGCAUAUGUGUAAGUAACUGUGCACAUCUUGACGGUACCUAAUCAGAAAGCCACGGCUAACUACGUG